AUUGAACGCUGGCGGCAUGCUUUACACAUGCAAGUCGAACGGUAACAGGCCGCAAUGUGCUGACGAGUGGCGAACGGGUGAGUAAUGCAUCGGAACGUGCCCAGUCGUGGGGGAUAACGCAGCGAAAGCUGCGCUAAUACCGCAUACGAUCUAUGGAUGAAAGCGGGGGACCGUAAGGCCUCGCGCGAUUGGAGCGGCCGAUGACAGAUUAGGUAGUUGGGGGGGUAAAGGCUCACCAAGCCAACGAUCUGUAGCUGGUCUGAGAGGACGACCAGCCACACUGGGACUGAGACACGGCCCAGACUCCUACGGGAGGCAGCAGUGGGGAAUUUUGGACAAUGGGCGCAAGCCUGAUCCAGCAAUGCCGCGUGCAGGAAGAAGGCCUUCGGGUUGUAAACUGCUUUUGUACGGAACGAAACGGCUCUGGUUAAUACCUGGGGCUAAUGACGGUACCGUAAGAAUAAGCACCGGCUAACUACGUGCCAGCCGCCGCGGUAACAC
rnacentral:rRNA from 1 species